GACGAACGCUGGCGGCGUGCUUAACACAUGCAAGUCGAACGGAAAGGCCCUGCUUUUGUGGGGUGCUCGAGUGGCGAACGGGUGAGUAACACGUGAGUAACCUGCCCUUGACUUUGGGAUAACUUCAGGAAACUGGGGCUAAUACCGGAUAGGAGCUCCUGCUGCAUAGUGGGGGUUGGAAAGUUUCGGCGGUUGGGGAUGGACUCGCGGCUUAUCAGCUUGUUGGUGGGGUAGUGGCUUACCAAGGCUUUGACGGGUAGCCGGCCUGAGAGGGUGACCGGCCACAUUGGGACUGAGAGACGGCCCAGACUCCUACGGGAGGCAGCAGUGGGGAAUAUUGCACAAUGGGCGGAAGCCUGAGGCAGCAACGCCGGGUGCGGGAUGACGGCCUUCGGGUUGUAAACCGCUUUCGCCUGUGACGAAGCGUGAGUGACGGUAAUGGGUAAAGAAGCACCGGCUAACUACGUG
rnacentral:rRNA from 1 species